CGAGGGGGGGGGCUACCAUGCAGUCGAACGAUGAACCACUUCGGUGGGGAUUAGUGGCGAACGGGUGAGUAACACGUGGGCAAUCUGCCCUGCACUCUGGGACAAGCCCUGGAAACGGGGUCUAAUACCGGAUACUGACCCGCUUGGGCAUCCAAGCGGUUCGAAAGCUCCGGCGGUGCAGGAUGAGCCCGCGGCCUAUCAGCUUGUUGGUGAGGUAAUGGCUCACCAAGGCGACGACGGGUAGCCGGCCUGAGAGGGCGACCGGCCACACUGGGACUGAGACACGGCCCAGACUCCUACGGGAGGCAGCAGUGGGGAAUAUUGCACAAUGGGCGAAAGCCUGAUGCAGCGACGCCGCGUGAGGGAUGACGGCCUUCGGGUUGUAAACCUCUUUCAGCAGGGAAGAAGCGAAAGUGACGGUACCUGCAGAAGAAGCGCCGGCUAACUACGUGCCAGCAGCCGCGGUAAUACGUAGGGCGCGAGCGUUGUCCGGAAUUAUUGGGCGUAAAGAGCUCGUAGGCGGCUUGUCACGUCGGUUGUGAAAGCCCGGGGCUUAACCCCGGGUCUGCAGUCGAUACGGGCAGGCUAGAGUUCGGUAGGGGAGAUCGGAAUUCCUGGUGUGCGGUGAAAUGCGCAGAUAUCAUGAGGAACACCGCUCGC
rnacentral:rRNA from 2 species